AUUCAGUCCAGUAUAUAUAUAUAUAUCAUUGAUACGAUAUUUCAAGUGCUCCAUAUCCAACCGGUGAAAAAGAAUCCGGAAACUGUGAUAAAAGCAGAAUAAGAGAAACACCCUUACAAUGACAACAAAUAAGCAUUUGAGGAAAAAAAUGAAUAAAAAAAGUAAAUUCAACAAUAUAUUUUUUUUCUUCUUUGAACAAACAAAACCGGAUUCUACUUCGCCGGAGAGCACAAACACUUUUGUAUCUUUACUCAUUCCAACUCCUCUUGGUCCCCUGCAGGACAUUGGAUCAGCUCUAAAAUAUUGACCACUUCCUCCAUGUCUGGCCUAUUUGAUGGCACUUGAGAUGCACAUAUUAAACCAAGUUUUAUUACUGGAAUUGCCUCAUCUGCUGGAAAUUUUCCUCCAAGCCUUCCAUCAACACAAUCCUCCAUCCUGCCAUCCUCUAGAGCUCCCCUCACCAUGUCACAUAGCACCACCACAUCAUCCUCCAUGUAUUCCACUGGUCUCUUACCUGUCACCACCUCCAAAACUAAGAUACCAAACCCAUAAACAUCACAUUUCUCAGUUAUCUUCACAGUUCGACAAGCAAAUUCAGGAGCCAUGUAGCCUAAUGCACUUUGGAUUUUGCUGCUUAGGAUACAACGGUCUAAUGUUGGCAACAGCCUUGCCAGGCCAAAGUCUCCAACCUUUGGCUCACCAGUAUCAUCUAUCAGAAUGUUGGUUGAUUUAAGAUUGUAGUGAGUUAUGUUCAUAUGAUGCAAAUGGGCCAAACCUUUUGCCAUCCCCAGAAUUAUGUUGAACCUCUGCCGCCAGGACAGGCAGUUUGAGCUGGGUCCAUCAUGAAGAUGCUUAUACAAACUCCCACUGGAUAUGUAUUCAUAAAUAAGGAGCUGCAAGGAUGAAGUCCAGUAAUAACCUUCCAGUGCCACAAGAUUAUGGUGCUUGAUCUUCCCAAGUCUCUUCACUUCCCUCUCAAAUUCAUCUUGGGACUUGAUCAAACUUGAAACUGUUAGCUUCUUUAUGGCAACUGAACGCCCAUCUCGAAGUAUCGUUCGAUAAACAACCCCAAACCCACCCCGACCAAGUUCACAGUCUUUGUUGAGUAAUGCAUGGGCACCAGCAACAAAAUCGGCAUCGCCCGAAAACAUUACAAGUUUGCCAUAGUUUGGAUCAGUAGUUGGGGAACAACUGAAAUCUUCCCCACCGGAUAAAGCAAGUGAAACAGGUGUUGGUGUCAUGGAAGAUCGUACAUGGAUGUUGAGGAGAGACACAGCUACCACACCAAGGGCAAUAAAAGCGGCUGCACCAAUAGCAAUGAGAGAAGAGAUGCUGAGUGCGAUUUUCCGAUGAUUGUGAUUUAAAGAAGAGCCAUUGGAGGAGGCAGAAGAGUUGGGGUUCAGAACAAUGGGCUUUGGAUGGACAGAAGGACAGGAACGAUUAACAACAGAACCACAUAGAGAUGGAUUACCAGAGACAGCUGAAGGGGAAAUGGUGUUGAAGAAACCCCCAACUGGCAGCUCACCUUGCAGGUUGUUAUGGGAAACAUUGAAGGAUACAAGGUAGGAAAGAUUUGUCAGCUCCUUUGGCAAGCUUCCAGAGAGGUGGUUGAAAGAUAAGUCCACAUAUUGGAGGUUGCUUAUGUUUGCAAUGGCUGCAGGGACCGGACCGGUGAGGUUGUUCUGCGAUAGAAUUAAAGAUUUUAGAGAUGAGCAGUUCUUUAUUUGAGUUGGAAUAUUCCCAGUUAUGCAGUUCUUUUCCAAUAUCAGUUCCACAAGUGAAACCGCUCCUCCAAUUUCAGAAGGAAUUCUUCCCUUUAGCUUAUUAUGACUCAAAUCAAGAACUUGGAUCAUCUUCAAUUCUCUUAUGCUUGAUGGGAUAGAACCAAAGAGUCGGUUUCUGGAUAUAUUCAAGACCAGCAAACUGCUAACUACCCCAACAUCGGAUGGAAUUUCACCAGAUAAGACAUUUGAAGAUAAGUCCAAGACCUUAAGACCUUGAAGAGAGCUCGCCAAAGAGGCCACUGAAGGAUAUUGCACACCCUUACUGUGUCCAUUCCCAGAAAGUGAUACACUUUUAAGGCCCAUCUUCAAAAUCCACGGAGGAAGAAUUCCUGUCAAUCGAUUCUGGCUAACAUCGAUAACCAAAAGGUUAAGACAAUUUGUCACCGGCUGUGGCAACCCUCCUGUAAGAUGGUUCCUGGACAGAUUUAAUUCCUUCAAUAUAUUAAGAUUUCCUAUUGAAGUUGGAAUCCGACCCAUAAAUUCAUUGGCAGAAAGAUCCAAAAUAUCGAGAUUUGUUAAUUCGCCAAUCCAACCAGGAACUUCUCCUGCAAAUGAAUUUCCUCGCAAUCUAAGAGAAGUGCACGACCUAAGCCUCCGCAAUGACUCUGGAAGGAGGUCAGACAGAGAAUUCUCACUAAAAUCCAGCACUUUCAAAAGCAAACAACCUCCAAUAUCCACUGGAAGCUUCCCAGAGAAUCUGUUCUUCUGCAAAUUAAUGGUUGUCAAAUAAGCCAAAUUUGAGAUCCCUUCGGGAAUCUCUCCCUCAAGCAAAUUAUCAGAUAAAUCAAGGGAUUGAAGCCCCCUCAAAAACCAUAAUCCAGAUGGUAACUCCCCAGAAAGCUGGUUAGAUGAGAAAUUAACUGCUGCCAAUGACGUGCACCAGCUCAAAGAUUCAGGAAUCUGCCCGGUGAGGUUAUUCUUAGCAAAUGAAACCGAUCUCAAGGAUUCACAUUGCUUAAAAAAUCCAUCAGGGAUCAACCCAGAGAGAUUGUUCUGACUCAAGUCGACAACUUGUAAAACCCCAAGCUGAGCAAGAUCAGGGUUUAUGGUGCCAGUGAAGUUGUUGUUUGAUAGUGACAGAAUCUGAAGAAACUGCAGGCGUAGAAGGCCGCGGCCAAUGUGCCCAGAAAGAGAGAAGCCAUCGAGAACCAGUUCGGUAACCCGCUGGGUUUUAGGGUCGCACUUGACACCGACCCAGUUGCAGGGAUUCUCAUCAUCUUCAUUCCAUGACGCGAGUUUAAACUCUGGGUCUUGAAGACCGGCCUUGAAGACUAUCAACCCAAGAACAUCAUCGUUGAAUGUUGGGUCCAAAGACUGUACAAAAACAGGAACUGAAAGAAGAAAAAAGCAGAUGUCGAAUAGCAUUUUGAAUUUCAAUUUCAAAAUUUUCCAAUCAAAAAUGCAAGGCCUCCAUGAAAGAAUUCAAAUAAGCAGAUAUAGCACUUGGAGGAAAAAUACCAUAGCCAUGGCAUAAAAAAGCAAAGCUGCUUGGACAACCCAUGAUGGCAACAAACGCUUGUUGUAUCAAAAGAAUCGCAACCAAGAAAAAGGAACCUUCACACGCAAACUGAUACAGAGGUUACAACUAAAAGAGGUAGAGAAGAGAACUGUAUUUUUAUUUUUGUACUUUUUAAUUUCCGGGAUAAAUGAGAGGGAGAGAGCAGAAAGUUUGUGUCCGUACAAACAAGUGCCAAAAGCUGAAGAUCGUGGAGCGCCGAAGCUGCUGCAGUAGCAGACCGGCAAGAAGAUGACACGAAACAGAGAUUUUUAGAAAAGGAUUGAAAAAAGAGUUACAAAUGAUUGAAGAUCAAAAUUCUAGCAGGCCCAACAACCCCGAGAGAGAUAUAUUCGAAAAGACUAUGAGUUCACUGUUGUGGAACAAAGGAAGAAAACAAACAAAAUCCACAGGAAACCCACUUCCCUCUUUCAACUGUUUGUUUCAGUUUCUUUUUCUUCUCCUUCGCAUUUGAAAAAUAAAAUCCUCAAACGUCAAAAAAAAAAAAAAAGGUGGAAAUACUCACUGAUACUACAGAACUCCUUGAUCUCCAACAGAAACUCACAUUAAUGUGAAAGAAGAGAAUACCUACAACACCCACCAAUUAGUUUCCCUUUCCCUUUACUUUCUCAAAUAAAAAACUGCAAACAUGUUGAAUCCAAAGAUCGUGGGAAGGAAUCAGGGCGGGGGAAUCGCCAGAAAAGAAGCGAGAGAGAAUUUAGAUACUGGAAACCCUAGGAAGCAUUAAUGAUGGAAUCAGAGAGAGGAAUAAGAAGAAGGAUAAUAGUGCAGAUGUGGCUAUGGGAGAGGGUAAUGGGUAGUAGCAGAAGCAGCAGUGGCAGCAGUAGGCGAGAGGGAAGAACUAAAGAGUAAAGUGGCAGAGCAAGCAUUUAAAAC
rnacentral:misc_RNA from 1 species